GGAGGGGUUCCCGAGCGGCCAAAGGGGGCAGACUGUAAAUCUGCUGUCACUGACUUCGGAGGUUCGAAUCCUCCCCCCUCCACCA
rnacentral:tRNA from 1 species